UACGAAGGGUGCAAGCGUUACUCGGAAUUACUGGGCGUAAAGCGUGCGUAGGUGGUUGUUUAAGUCAGGUGUGAAAGCCCCGGGCUCAACCUGGGAAUUGCAUUUGAGACUGAAUAGCUAGGGUGCGGAAGAGGGAAGCGGAAUUUCCGGUGUAGCGGUGAAAUGCGUAGAUAUCGGAAGGAACACCAGUGGCGAAAGCGGCUUCCUGGUCCAGCACCGACGUUCAGGCACGAAAGCGUGGGGAGCAAACAGG
rnacentral:rRNA from 1 species